UACGAAGGGGGGCUAGCGUUGUUCGGAAUUACUGGGCGUAAAGCGCACGUAGGCGGAUUUGUAAGUCAGGGGUGAAAUCCCGGGGCUCAACCUCGGAACUGCCUUUGAUACUGCAAGUCUCGAGUCCGAUAGAGGUGAGUGGAAUUCCUAGUGUAGAGGUGAAAUUCGUAGAUAUUCGGAAGAACACCAGUGGCGAAGGCGACUCGCUGGACAAGUAUUGACGCUGAGGUGCGAAAGCGUGGGGAGCAAACAGGG
rnacentral:rRNA from 1 species